CCUACGGGAGGCAGCAGUUAGGAAUUUUGCGCAAUGGGCGAAAGCCUGACGCAGCAACGCCGCGUGGGCGAUGAAGGCCUUCGGGUCGUAAAGCCCUGUCGGGGGGAACGAUGCGGCGCGGCCAAUCCCCGCGCCGUGACGGUACUCCCAAAGGAAGCACCGGCUAACUCCGUGCCAGCAGCCGCGGUAAUACGGAGGGUGCGAGCGUUGUCCGGAAUUACUGGGCGUAAAGCGCGGGCAGGCGGCCUGUUGUGUCGGGUGUAAAAUCCCACGGCGCAACCGGGGAACUGCGCUCGAAACUGGCAGGCUUGAGUGCGGGAGGGGGAGGUGAAAUUCCCGGUGUAGAGGUAAAAUUCGUAGAUAUCGGGAAGAAUACCGGUGGCGAAGGCGACCCCCGGGCCCGCAACUGACGCUCAUCCGCGAAAGCGGGGGGAGCAAACAGGAUUAGAUCCCCGGGUAGU
rnacentral:rRNA from 1 species